GGCAGGUCUGUUCUCUGCACAGUGGAAGGUCAGAAUGGGGAAGGCACUACUGAAGUACUGAGCGCCGCCAACCCCAAGUGCUUGAAUCUGAAAGAGGCAAAGGCAGACCAAGUCACAGAGCAGAUAGCUGAGCUUUUCAAGACAUGCAGCUGGCACCUAUCUCUGUGGACGAAAUGAUGUGCUAACUGCCCGUCUUGCUCUCUGGAUGAAGAAAGGCUUGGUGACUCUGUGCCCCACUGCGCGGAGAAGACGGGGAGAGAAGGAAGAAGAUGGGGACAUAAGGAGAAGACGGGGAACUGGCUGAUUUGAGAUUAAUAACAUCAAAAAUGUGCUUGGAGGGGGAA
rnacentral:lncRNA from 1 species